ACGCUGGCGGCGUGCCUAAUACAUGCAAGUAGAACGCUGAAAGAGGAGCUUGCUUCUCUGGAUGAGUUGCGAACGGGUGAGUAACGCGUAGGUAACCUGCCUGGUAGCGGGGGAUAACUAUUGGAAACGAUAGCUAAUACCGCAUAAGAGUAGAUGUUGCAUGACAUUUGCUUAAAAGGUGCAAUUGCAUCACUACCAGAUGGACCUGCGUUGUAUUAGCUAGUUGGUGGGGUAACGGCUCACCAAGGCGACGAUACAUAGCCGACCUGAGAGGGUGAUCGGCCACACUGGGACUGAGGCACGGCCCAGACUCCUACGGGAGGCAGCAGUAGGGAAUCUUCGGCAAUGGACGGAAGUCUGACCGAGCAACGCCGCGUGAGUGAAGAAGGUUUUCGGAUCGUAAAGCUCUGUUGUAAGAGAAGAACGAGUGUGAGAGUGGAAAGUUCACACUGUGACGGUAUCUUACCAGAAAGGGACGGCUAACUACGUGCCAGCAGCCGCGGUAAUACGUAGGUCCCGAGCGUUGUCCGGAUUUAUUGGGCGUAAAGCGAGCGCAGGCGGUUAGAUAAGUCUGAAGUUAAAGGCUGUGGCUUAACCAUAGUACGCUUUGGAAACUGUUUAACUUGAGUGCAAGAGGGGAGAGUGGAAUUCCAUGUGUAGCGGUGAAAUGCGUAGAUAUAUGGAGGAACACCGGUGGCGAAAGCGGCUCUCUGGCUUGUAACUGACGCUGAGGCUCGAAAGCGUGGGGAGCAAACAGGAUUAGAUACCCUGGUAGUCCACGCCGUAAACGAUGAGUGCUAGGUGUUAGACCCUUUCCGGGGUUUAGUGCCGCAGCUAACGCAUUAAGCACUCCCGCCUGGGGAGUACGACCGCAAGGUUGAAACUCAAAGGAAUGACGGGGGCCCGCACA
rnacentral:rRNA from 1 species